rnacentral:lncRNA from 1 species
GAAGGUGGGUGGCUGCCUGCCUCACUCUGUGGGGGCAACUUAAGGGACCUCAAGCAUUUGUCAUGGACAAACGAGCUGCAGAUGGAUGAGCUGGUCCUCUAGAGCCCAGCUCACUAGGGCGGCCUGGACUCCAGAGGGCUGUGCCACCCCCUCACCUGUGGAUGCUGCAUGCAGAACGUCAGCCAGUCUUCCCUGCAAUUUUUUCUAUCCCCAUAAUUUCGGACUUACAGAACAGCUGCAAGAACAGUACAGUAAACUCCUGGAUACCCUUCAUCCUGACUCUUUAAAUUUACCAUAUUUGGGAGUUACUGCCGUGGUGCGGCGAAAAGGAAUCUAACUAGUAUCCAUGAGGAUGUGGGUAAGAUCCCUGGCCUCGCUCAGUGGGUCAGGGAUCCGGCAUUGCCAUGAGCUGUGGUGUAGGUCGCAGGUGCAGCUUGGAUCUCGUGUUGCUGCGGCUGUGGAGGCCGGUAGCUGUAGCUCUGAUUUGACCCCUAGCCUGGGAACUUCCACAUGCCGCAAGUGUGGCCCUAAAAAAUAAAUAAAUAAAAAUAAAUAAAUAAAUAAAUAAAAAUAAAUACAUAAAUUUACAAUAUUUGCUUCCCCCUCCAUAUAUAUUAUAAAUACUUCUGGACCCUUUGAGAGCCCACUGCAGACAUGACAUCCCUUUACCCCUCGGUACUUGUGUUUAUUUCCUAAAACCAAAGAAUUCUCUUACAUAACCACAACACCAUGAUUGAAAUCAGGAAAUUAAAACAGAUACAAUACUAUUCUGCAAUCUAUAGGCCUCUAACAAAUUUAAGCCUGUGGCCAAAAUCUCCAUUUCCCACAGCCUGUAACCUACGGUGACCUCUCCUCCUGUUUGUCAUGAAUGAUAACGACACAUAUAAUCAUUGCUGUUGUUACUUAUUAAACAUCUACUAUGACCAGAGCUUGGAAUAUAAUGUCUUAUCAUUUCCAGCAACAAGAUAUUUUUCCAGUUUUGCAAAUGAAAGAGAAACCAUAACCAGAGAGGUUAAUGGUUUGUUCACUUUUGUGGUUUGGUGGUUUGUGGCAGGGCUGGGACUGAAUCCAAGUUGGGGUGACAGCUGGAGGGACGGAAUGGAAGGUACCGGGAAGGCGGUUCGCCCAUAAAUCAAAGUCGCCCCUGUAGGGUGCACAAAGCACUGGCUCGUGGGUGCUGCUCUGGAUCUCACUGCUCGGAGGGAGGACGGUCCUGGGGGACCCUGGACCCCCCGAGAAGACUCAGAACCAACCAGUCGGAAAAGGGACGGCCGUCGGAGAGGACGAUUGCAGGAAAAGGCUAAAGACUGCGGGAGAAAGAGCCGGGCGGCCCAAGACAGCCCCGAGAGACCGCGGCGAGCGCACGCGCACGCGCAGCACCAUGCCCCGCCCCUCGCUCACGUUU